rnacentral:rRNA from 1 species
GAUGAACGCUGGCGGCGUGCCUAAUACAUGCAAGUCGAGCGAACAGACGAGGAGCUUGCUCCUCUGACGUUAGCGGCGGACGGGUGAGUAACACGUGGAUAACCUACCUAUAAGACUGGGAUAACUUCGGGAAACCGGAGCUAAUACCGGAUAAUAUAUUGAACCGCAUGGUUCAAUAGUGAAAGACGGUUUUGCUGUCACUUAUAGAUGGAUCCGCGCCGCAUUAGCUAGUUGGUAAGUUACCGGCUUACCAAGGCAACUAUGCGUAGCCGACCUGAGAGGGUGAUCGGCCACACGGGAACGGAAACAGGGUCCAGACUCCUACGGGAGGCAGCAGAAGGGAAUCUGCGGCAAUGGGCGAAAGCCUGACGGAGCAACGCCGCGUGAGUGAUAAAGGUCUUCGGAUCGUAAAACUCUGUUAUUAGGGAAGAACAAAUGUGUAAGUAACUAUGCACGUCUUGACGGUACCUAAUCAGAAAGCCACGGCUAACUACGUG